GGUGCAGCUGAGUCCUGAUUGGCCAGUGAGGCUGAGUCUGAUUGGUCAGUGAGGCUGAGUCCUGAUUGGUCAAUGCGAAUUGGUCAAUGCUUUCCAAGAAGCCCAGCUGCAUCCCAGAGCAAAACUCAAGAGUAUUCGUAGCCUCAUAAGAACACUUGGCACCCAACAAGGUAAAAUCCACAAGGUCUGGCAUCCAACGAAAUGUCCGAGCAAGCAGAAAAAUAUGACCCCCAUACUAAGGAGCAGUCAAUAAAUUGAAAGCAAACCAGAACUGAUACAGAUGUCAGCAGAGAACAAGGGCAUUAAAACAGCUGUCAUAACUGCAUCAACGUGUUCAAAGCAGAGGUAUAGAAGAUGUAAAUAAAGAGGACCCAAGUGAAACUUACAUAUAUGAAAACUACCUUGUGUGAGCUGAAAAAUACUUGGGAAGCAGGAGGGAUGGCCUGGCCGCUGCACAGCCUCCAGCUCUCCCAGGUUGGGGUUUGCUCUUGCUGUGUCCUCACAAGGACAACGCUUGGAUUUACUUCCUCUUUGACAGAACCACGAAGCAGGCAGUGUCUGCACUGUGGGGAGGGCGCUGUGGGGCGGGGCACGGCUGGGGCUCCGGGUCAGGUUCCUGGCUGGGGCUCUGCCCUGCCCUGGGCUCCUGCAUGGCUGGUGCUGAAUCGUCCCGAUGCGGGCCUGGUCUGGCCCUGCCUGUCCCUGGGGCUUGGACAGCUUCAGUGCCAGGGGCUUCUCCCAGCCGUGUGCUGACCACACAGCAGGUUCUGGUGCUUGUCGGCUCCCGCCUGGGCCACGGACGGGGAGGACGCAGCAGGGACCCACACCCACGUCUGAGCAGCCUGUGGGGGAACUCCUGGGUCACCUGGUGAGCUUCUCUCCAGGUGUGCGCAAACUCCUCUGGCGCCUGAGCAGGUGAACCUCUCCCUGGCCUUUGAAGAUAUACCAUCUGUUUGCUCCUGACCUCUGGCGUCACGCCCUGUGUGAGAGGAUGCGGCUGCCAGUGAGUGAGGCUCUCCCCUGCCCAGACGUGAGGCCCCGAGGGGAACGUGCCAUCGCAGCACAAAGUCCUCUGUGUCCUGCCUUCAG